rnacentral:lncRNA from 1 species
GCGCACUGGAAGUUGUUCUUGACUGUGGGAACUUUAUCGCUGUGGGGCGUCCGGCGAAGGUCCCUGGUGGCUUAACAGGCUAAGAUCUGCCGUCACUGCUGUAGCUUGGGUCGCUGCUGUGGUGUGGGUUCAGUCCGUGAGCUGAGAGUUUCCACAUGCUGGGGGGAAAAAAACUUGUACCCUUUUCUUUUCAUUGUUUUUUUUUCUGUUGGUCGGCAGUGAUUACUACUCUGACUUCCAGCUCACUGCUCUAUUCUUCUGCCUCAUUUAGUCUGCUAAAUAAGUGGGACUUGAUUCUUUUAAUGUAUAUUUUACUUCAGUUAUUGUAUUCUUCUAUUCUGUUUAGUUGUUCUUUAUUAUAUUUUUUAAUUCUUUGUUAAAACUUAUAAUUUCUGGGAGUUCCUAUUGUGGCACAAUGAAUCGAAAAUGAAUCUGACUGGUAUCCAUGAGGAUGCGGGUUUGACCACUGGCCUUGCUUAGUGGGCCAGGGAUCCAGUAUUGCCAUGGGCUGUGGUGUAGGUCACAGACGAGGCUCAGAUCCCGAGUUACUGUGGCUGUGGUGUAGGCCAGCAGCUGUACCUCCAGUUCGACCCCUAGCCUGGGAAUUUCCAUGUGCCUCAGGUUAGGCCCUGAAAAGCAAAAAAAAAAAAAAACCUUCUGAUUUCUCUGCCAUUUUUCUCCUGAGUUCUUUGAUCAUAUUUUCAAGCAUUACUCAGAUUUGAAAGGAUAUGAACUUUUAUCCACAGGGGAUCAUGGCUAGAUUUUUGCGUAUAAAAUGAUUUGGGCUCCAGAUCUAAGAGGGAAAAGCAGUUUGACUCAAGAAAAGGAAUGUGUGCCUUGAAGGCCUUAUGUAUGCAUUCUAGCUGGACCACGUCAAGCUUGAGGCCCUGUGGCCCACGAUCCACCCAAAUCAAAAGGUUUUCUCAAGAACUGUGGAGAUGUUUUGAAAAUCCUGAAGCCCUAAAAUUCUCCCCCAAGGUUUGGAGAUGUGCCUUUUGUCCCCAGGGUAACACUGAUAAAUAAAUUAGUACCUGGUGAUCAAGCUGUUUUAUAUUAGAAAUAAAAUUCAGAGUUCCCGUCGUGGUGCAGUGCUUAACAAAUCCAACUAGGACCCAUGAGGUUUCGGGUUCAAUCCCUGAUCUUGCUCGGGUGGGUUAAGGAUCCAGCGUUGCUGUGAGCUGUGGUGUAGAUCGCAGAUGAGGCUCAGAUCUGGCGUUGCUGUGGCUCUGGCAUAGGCCAGCAGCCUCAGCUCUGAUUAGACCCCUAGCCUGGAACCUCCAUAUGCCACGGGUGUGGCCCUAGAAAAGACAAAAAGACAAAAAAAAUUAAAAUAGAAAUAAAAUUCAGUCAUGUCAAGGCCAGUCUUGGAGGGAAAUGUGGCUUCAGUAUAACAGUAGGGGUUUUCCUUUAAUGUCCACUAAUAUCAGGGGUUAAUAAUAACAACAGGUUUCUUAAACAUAAAAAUGUGAGAAAUGAAAGGUGGGGGGGGAAACCUUUCCAUAACAGUAAAUAUUAUAAGAUACAGAACCAGAGCCCUAAGGAGUAGGCUGCAAACCAAGCAUUUAUUGUGGCUUUUGGGACAUUAAUUUUAUUACCCAAAGAACAAAAUUAAUCUGGAGAGGUUCUCUCUGAGAGGUUUCAGAAAAUAGUAAAAGAUCAAAUGAUCCUGCUCCCUUUCUUCCCCCUCCAUCUGUUGCAGCUGGAAGAAAGUAAGAGGCUAAUGCAGACUAUCAUGGAAGAUUUGGCACCUGUAUCUAAAAAUAUUUUCUAUAUAUUUUUAAUAUUUCUGGCUUAUAUUUUGAGAAAGCCCUCUAGGUAAUGAUCUUUCUUAUAAAUACCACAUUAAUUUAGGUAUUAGAGCUUUGUUCUUGUGUUGCUACUAAGAUUUGGAAUGGCAUCUAUAUUCUAAAUUUGGAUGAAAGAAAGGAACAGGAUAAAUGGAGUAAAAAAGACUUCUAGAUGAAACAUAAGCUCCCAAUACUUUAGUCCAGAAAAUGAGACAGAAACUAAAGGAGAGUAAUAUAAAUUAUUAACUGAAGGACUGAAAAUACCAGUUCUCUUCUAAUCCCAAGUGGCUGGACAAUCAGUUAAAAUAAAUAUUUCAAUUGAUAAAAUAGAGAUACAAUAUAGCCAUGUUACAAGAAAUGCAAUGAAGAGAAAAUUAAGAGCCAUAGCUGAAUGGUAUUGUUUGAAGAUCAAUGUGGUAUAUAAAAUAGAUGAAUGACAAGGAUUUACAGUAUAGAACAGAGAACUAUAUUCAAUAUAGUGUAAUAAACUAUAAUGGGAAAAAAAAAGAAUAUAUGUGAGUUCCCGCUGUGGCACAGUGGGCUGAUCAUUUGGCUUGUUUCUGUGGAGGCACCAGUUCAGUCCCCAGCCCUGCACAGUGGGUUAAGAAUCUGGUGUUGCUGCAGCUGUGGCAUAGGUUGCAGCUCUCUGAGAGAGUUCUAUGCCUUGACAGAAGUCAUGGUUACAUGGAUAAACACACUAUAUUCAUUGAGAUGUAUACUUAUGAUGUGUCACUUUAGUGGUUAUAAAUUAGACCUCACUCUCAAAACAACAAAAAGUGCCUUUCACUGUGGGAACCUCAAAAGCAAGAAAUAUUGCUGUUUUUAUUUCAAAAAAAAAUCCAUCUGGGAGUUCUCUUGUGGUCCAGCAGGUUAAGGAUCCAGCACUGUCACUGCAGCAGUUCAGGUCCCUGCUGUGGCCUAGGAACUUCCAUGUACCAUGGGCUC